rnacentral:rRNA from 1 species
CCUACGGGGGGCAGCAGUGGGGAAUUUUGGACAAUGGGGGCAACCCUGAUCCAGCCAUGCCGCGUGCGGGAAGAAGGCCUUCGGGUUGUAAACCGCUUUUGUCAGGGAAGAAAUCUUCCGAGCUAAUACCUUGGGAGGAUGACGGUACCUGAAGAAUAAGCACCGGCUAACUACGUGCCAGCAGCCGCGGUAAUACGUAGGGUGCAUGCGUUAAGCGGAAUUACUGGGGGCAGUUCGUGAAGAGAGGUGUGAAAUCCCCGGGCUUAACCUGGGAACUGCACUUGUGACUGUACGGCUGGAGGACGGCAGAGGGGGAUGGAAUUCCGCGUGUAGCAGUGAAAUGCGUAGAUAUGCGGAGGAACACCGAUGGCGAAGGCAGUCCCCUGGGCCUGUACUGACGCUCAUGCACGAAAGCGUGGGGAGCAAACAGGAUUAGAUACCCGGGUAGUC